GGCCUUANCUCAGCUGGGAGAGCGCCUGCCUUGCACGCANGAGGUCAGCGGUCCGAUCCCGCUAGGCUCCACCAG
rnacentral:tRNA from 1 species